CUUACUGCUUACUCUAGCUCGCUUGGUGCAGGUCGGGAACCCUUCGCACUUUAAUACCCUCACUAGCAGAGGGUUCCCGCCUUGCAUCAACUGAAUUGGAGACUACAGUAAAG
rnacentral:pre_miRNA from 1 species